GUAACGCGUGAGCGACAUGCCCGUUGCCCGGGGACAACCGGUGGAAACGCCGACUAAUCCUCGAUGGGAUAUUGUGCCGCAUGGCACGAUAUUGAAAGUUACGGCGGCGACGGAUUGGCUCGCGUCCGAUUAGCUUGUUGGCGGGGUAACGGCCCACCAAGGCUACGAUCGGUAGGGGUUCUGAGAGGAAGGCCCCCCACAAUGGGACUGAGACACGGCCCAUACUCCUACGGGAGGCAGCAGUGAGGAAUAUUGGUCAAUGGGCGGAAGCCUGAACCAGCCAUGCCGCGUGCGGGAAGGAGGCCCUAUGGGCUGUGAACCGCUUUUGCCUGGGGGCAAUAAGGGCGUCGCGCACGCCCGAUGAGAGUACCAGGCGAAUAAGCAUCGGCUAACUCCGUGCCAGCAGCCGCGGUAAUACGGGGGAUGCGAGCGUUAUCCGGAUUCAUUGGGUUUAAAGGGUGCGUAGGCUGUGCGUCGAGUCGGGGGUGAAAUUCCGGUGCUCAACACCGGGGCUGCCCUUGAUACUGUCGCGCUGGAGUGCGGAUGCCGCCGGAGGAAUGAGUGGUGUA
rnacentral:rRNA from 1 species